ensembl:lncRNA
CUCUGAUAUGAACCCGGGUCUUCCUGCCAGUCAGCGCCAGAUCGUUCCGCCGUCAGAGUGGUAAACUCCCUAUUCAGGCCAUCUCGCUGCUCACUGAGAAUUGAUGCUGUCUUUGUUCACCUUUUUCCUGUGUUUGCCCUAGUGCUCGAGGAUUCCUACCUGCCGGCAGGCGGGCUCUGAGAGGCCAUUCUUCCCUGCAGAAUCAACCCGUCCUCGUGCGCCACUUUAUAUAUAUAUAUAUAUGUUUGAAUAAAUACCUUAUUUUUCCAGUCGGAAGAACCUCCCUGUGACUCCUGUGUGCUGCCACUAGGACACUCACUAAGGAGCCACCAGGCUUUCAGCAUCUGGCCAUAGGACACUGACUAAGGGGCCACCAGGCUUUCAGCAUCUGGCCAUAGGACACUCACUAAGGAGCCACCAGGCUUUCAGCAUCUGGCCGUAAGACACUCACUUAGGAGCCACCAGGCUUUCAGCAUCUGGCCAUAGGACACUCACUAAGGAGCCACCAGGCUUUCAGCAUCUGGCCGUAGGACACUCACUUAGGAGCCACCAGGCUUUCAGCAUCUGGCCAUAAGACACUCACUAAGGAGCCACCAGGCUUUCAGCAUCUGGCCAUAGGACACUUACUAAGGAGCCACCAGGCUUUCAGCAUCUGGCCGUAGGACACUCACUAAGGAGCCACCAGGCUUUCAGGAUCUGGCCGUAGGACACUCACUAAGGAGCCACCAGGUUUUCAGCAUCUGGCCAUAAGACACUUACUAAG